UACGUAGGGGGCUAGCGUUGUCCGGAUUUACUGGGCGUAAAGGGCGCGUAGGCGGCCAGCACAAGUCAGUUGUGAAAUCUCCGAGCUUAACUCGGAAAGGUCAACUGAUACUGUGCGGCUAGAGUGCGGAAGGGGCAACUGGAAUUCUUGGUGUAGCGGUGAAAUGCGUAGAUAUCAAGAGGAACACCUGCGGCGAAGGCGGGUUGCUGGGCCGACACUGACGCUGAGGCGCGAAAGCUAGGGGAGCGAACGGG
rnacentral:rRNA from 1 species